rnacentral:rRNA from 1 species
CUUUUUCUUCGAUUAGAACUCUAAGAAAAAAUUACGCUGUUAUCCCUAAGGUAAUUUUUCUUUUAAUCUUAAAAAAAGGAUCAAUUAAAUCACUUAUUUAUGAAAAUUAAAUAAAAAAAGUUAAUUAAAUUUUUCAAUCACCCCAAUUAAAUACUCUGUUUAUAAAGUAAAAUUUUUAAUAAUAUAUUUAUAUUUUCCACAUUUUUAACUUUAAAAUAAAAUAUUAAACUCUAUAGGGUCUUCUCGUCUUUUAUAAAAAUUUAAGCUUUUUAACUUAAAAAUAAAAUUCAAAAUAUUUAAACUGAGACAGCUAUUUUUUCAUCAAACCUUUCAUUCCAGCUUUCAAUUAAAAAACUAAUGAUUAUGCUACCUUAGCACAGUCAAAAUNCUGCGGCCGUU